rfam:Myotis brandtii contig215777, whole genome shotgun sequence.
GGCAGUUCUCAGAUGACACACCCCGGAAUCGGGCUCCCUCCUCUCUGGUUCCAGGUGCAUUUCCCAAGAACCGCA